rnacentral:rRNA from 1 species
UACGAAGGGGGCUAGCGUUGUUCGGAAUCACUGGGCGUAAAGGGCGCGUAGGCGGCCGAUCAAGUCGGGGGUGAAAGCCUGUGGCUUAACCACAGAAUGGCCUUCGAUACUGUUUGGCUUGAGACCGGAAGAGGUUAGUGGAACUGCGAGUGUAGAGGUGAAAUUCGUAGAUAUUCGCAAGAACGCCAGUGGCGAAGGCGGCUGACUGGUCCGGUUCUGACGCUGAGGCGCGAAAGCGUGGGAGCAAACAGG